AUUCCAAUCGAACCCGGAGAUAGCUGGUUCUCCCCGAAAUAGCUUUAGGGCUAGCCUCAAGCGUAGAGAAACGGAGGUAGAGCACUGAAUGUCCUAGGGGGUAUUGCACUUACCGAAGACUAUCAAACUCCGAAUGCCGUUUUCUUUUACUUGGGAGUCAGACUGUGGGUGAUAAGAUUCAUAGUCAAAAGGGCAACAGCCCAGAUCGUCAGCUAAGGUCCCUAAAUGUACGUUAAGUGGUAAAGGAUGUGGGAUUGCACAGACAACCAGGAUGUUGGCUUAGAAGCAGCCACUCAUUUAAAGAGUGCGUAAUAGCUCACUGGUCGAGUGAUCCUGCGCCGAAAAUUUCCGGGGCUAAAACGUACUACCGAAGCUACGGCAUCAUUUAUGAUGGGUAGGGGAGCUUCGUAUGCAGGCUGAAGCAUGACCGUAAGGACAUGUGGACAGUAUACGAGUGAGAAUGUUGGCAUGAGUAGCGAGACGUGGGUGAGAAUCCCACGGGCCGUAAACCCAAGGUUUCCAGGGGAAGGUUCGUCCGCCCUGGGUUAGUCGGGACCUAAGCCGAGGCCGAAAGGCGUAGGUGAUGGACAACAGGUUGAUAUUCCUGUACCGCCAAUAAGCGUUUGAGAGAUGGAGUGACACAGUAGGAUAAGCUAACCGUACUGUUGGUUAUGUACGGCUAAGCAUUGAGGCAGUCUAAAUAGGCAAAUCCGUUUAGACAAUGCUAGGAUGUGAUGGGGAAGCCCUUCGGGGCGAAGUAGCUGAUUUCACACUGUCAAGAAAAGCUUCUAUCGAGUUUAAAGGCGCCCGUACCGUAAACCGACACAGGUGGGUGAGGAGAGUAUCCUAAGGCCAGCGAGAGAACUAUUGUUAAGGAACUCGGCAAAAUGACCCCGUAACUUAGGGAGAAGGGGUGCCUGUCUAUGACAGGCCGCAGAGAAUAGGCCCAAGCGACUGUUUACCAAAAACACAGGUUUCUGCUAAGUCGCAAGACGAUGUAUAGGAGCUGACGCCUGCCCGGUGCUGGAAGGUUAAGGGGAUCUGUUAGAGCAAUCGAAGCAGUGAACUUAAGCCCCAGUAAACGGCGGCCGUAACUAUAACGGUCCUAAGGUAGCGAAAUUCCUUGUCGGGUAAGUUCCGACCCGCACGAAAGGCGUAACGAUUUGGGCACUGUCUCAACAAUAGACUCGGUGAAAUUGUAAUCCCGGUGAAGAUGCCGGGUACCUGCGACAGGACGGAAAGACCCCAUGGAGCUUUACUGUAGCUUGACGUUGGGUCUUGGUACUACAUGUACAGGAUAGGUGGGAGACUAUGAAGCAUGGACGCCAGUCUGUGUGGAGUCAUCCUUGGGAUACCACCCUUGUAGUACUGGGAUCCUAACCAUAGGCCUUGAAUCAGGUCUUGGAACACCGUCAGGUGGGCAGUUUGACUGGGGCGGUCGCCUCCUAAAAAGUAACGGAGGCGCUCAAAGGUUUCCUCAGCACGGUCGGAAAUCGUGCGAAGAGUGUAAAGGCAAAAGGAAGCUUGAUUGCAAGACAUACAGGUCGAGCAAGGACGAAAGUCGGACUUAGUGAUCCGGUGGUACCGCAUGGAAGGGCCAUCGCUCAACGGAUAAAAGCUACCCUGGGGAUAACAGGCUUAUCUCCCCCAAGAGUCCACAUCGACGGGGAGGUUUGGCACCUCGAUGUCGGCUCAUCACAUCCUGGGGCUGUAUUCGGUCCCAAGGGUUCGGCUGUUCGCCGAUUAAAGUGGUACGCGAGCUGGGUUCAGAACGUCGCGAGACAGUUCGGUCCCUAUCUGUCGUGGGCGCAGGAUAUUUGAGGAGCUCUGUCCUUAGUACGAGAGGACCGGGAUGGACGUACCUCUGGUGCACCAGUUGUCAUGCCAAUGGCACGGCUGGGCAGCUAUGUACGGAACGGAUAAACGCUGAAAGCAUCUAAGCGUGAAGCCGACUCCAAGAUUAGAUAUCCCAUCGUAUAACGAGUAAGACCCCUUGAAGACUACGAGGUUGAUAGGCUGCGUGUGUAAGUGCCGUGAGGCAUUCAGCUUGGCAGUACUAAUAGGUCGAGGGCUUGACCAC
rnacentral:rRNA from 1 species